GUUAGGUUAGCGGCGGACGGGUGAGUAAUACGUAGGUAACCUGCCCUUAAGACCGGGAUAACUCACGGAAACGUGGGCUAAUACCGGAUAGUCGAUUUCCUCGCAUGAGGGAAUCGGGAAAGGCGGAGCAAUCUGCCACUUAUGGAUGGACCUACGGCGCAUUAGCUAGUUGGUGGGGUAACGGCUCACCAAGGCGACGAUGCGUAGCCGACCUGAGAGGGUGAUCGGCCACACUGGGACUGAGCCACGAUUAAAUACAAUACGGGAGGCAGCAGUAGGUAAUCUUCCGCAAUGGACGCAAGUCUGACGGAGCAACGCCGCGUGAGUGAUGAAGGUUUUCGGAUCGUAAAGCUCUGUUGCCAGGAAAGAACGCUAUGGAGAGUAACUGUUCCAUAGGUGACGGUACCUGAGAAGAAAGCCCCGGCUAACUACGUGCCAGCAGCCGCGGUAAUACGUAGGGGGCAAGCGUUGUCCGGAAUUAUUGGGCGUAAAGCGCGCGCAGGCGGUCAUGUAAGUCUGGUGAUUAAACCCGGGGCUCAACUCCGGGUCGCAUCGGAAACUGUGUGACUUGAGAGCAAAAAGAGGAAAGUGCAAUUCCACGUGUAGCGGUGAAAUGCGUAG
rnacentral:rRNA from 1 species